GGUUCUGUGGUGAAACGGAUAUCACACUUGACUACGGAUCAAGAAUUCAGGGUUCGAAUCCUUGCAGAACCG
rnacentral:tRNA from 1 species